GAUGAACGCUGGCGGCGUGCCUAAUACAUGCAAGUCGAGCGAACGGUCGAGAAGCUCGCUUCUCUGAUGUUAGCGGCGGACGGGUGAGUAACACGUGGAUAACCUACCUAUAAGACUGGGAUAACUUCGGGAAACCGUAGCUAAUACCGGAUAAUAUUUUGAACGGCAGGGUUCAAAAGUGAAAGACGGCUUUGCUGUCACUAUUAGAUGGAUCCGCGCUGCAUUAGCUAGUUGGUAAGGUAACGGCUUACCAAGGCAACGAUGCGUAGCCGACCUGAGAGGGUGAUCGGCCACACUGGAACUGAGACACGGUCCAGACUCCUACGGGAGGCAGCAGUAGGGAAUCUUGCGCAAUGGGCGCAAGCCUGACGGAGCAACGCCGCGUGAGUGAUGAAGGUCUUCGGAUCGUAAAACUCUGUUAUUAGGGAAGAACAUAUGUGUAAGUAACUGUGCACGUCUUGACGGUACCUAAUCAGAAAGCCACGGCUAACUACGUG
rnacentral:rRNA from 1 species